rnacentral:rRNA from 1 species
UACAGGGGGGGCAAGCGUUGUUCGGAAUUACUGGGCGUAAAGGGCCAGUAGGCGGCCAACUAAGUCCGACGUGAAAUCCCAAGGCUUAACUUUGGAACUGCAUCCGAUACUGGAUGGCUUGAAUUCGGGAGAGGGAUGCAGAAUUCCAGGUGUAGCGGUGAAAUGCGUAGAUAUCUGGAGGAAUACCGGUGGCGAAGGCGGCAUCCUGGACCGACAUUGACGCUGAGGAGCGAAAGCUAGGGGAGCAAACGGG